ACACUCCUGCGGGAGGCAGCAGUGGGGAAUUUUGGACAAUGGGCGAAAGCCUGAUCCAGCAAUGCCGCGUGAGUGAAGAAGGCCUUCGGGUUGUAAAGCUCUUUUGUCAGGGAAGAAACGGUGAAAGCUAAUAUCUUUUGCUAAUGACGGUACCUGAAGAAUAAGCACCGGCUAACUACGUGCCAGCAGCCGCGGUAAUACGUAGGGUGCAAGCGUUAAUCGGAAUUACUGGGCGUAAAGCGUGCGCAGGCGGUUUUGUAAGUCUGAUGUGAAAUCCCCGGGCUCAACCUGGGAAUUGCAUUGGAGACUGCAAGGCUAGAAUCUGGCAGAGGGGGGUAGAAUUCCACGUGUAGCAGUGAAAUGCGUAGAUAUGUGGAGGAACACUGAUGGCGAAGGCAGCCCCCUGGGUCAAUAUUGACGCUCAUGCACGAAAGCGUGGGGAGCAAACAGUAUUAGAUACCCGUGUAGUCCCA
rnacentral:rRNA from 1 species